CCCAGGGACCACAUUUCAUUCUUUAAACCACAACAGUUCAGGAAAAAUCAUUGGGAGAUGCACAAAAAGCAGGGAGGACAGAUGGUAGAAAACAGAAGUCUGAACAGCUACAAAAUAAAAAGUCUGCUUCUUUGUCUAUU